rnacentral:piRNA from 1 species
UACAAGAUCUGCCUCUGUGCAUGCAUACGAUA